rnacentral:rRNA from 1 species
GAUGAACGCUGGCGGCGUGCCUAAUACAUGCAAGUCGAGCGAACAGACGAGGAGCUUGCUCCUUCGACGUUAGCGGCGGACGGGUGAGUAACACGUAGGUAACCUACCUAUAAGACUGGGAUAACUUCGGGAAACCGGAGCUAAUACCGGAUAAUAUUUCGAACCGCAUGGUUCGAUAGUGAAAGAUGGCUUUGCUAUCACUUAUAGAUGGACCUGCGCUGUAUUAGCUAGUUGGUAAGGUAACGGCUUACCAAGGCAACAAUACGUAGCCGACCUGAGAGGUGAACGGCACCAAUGGGAAUGAGGAAAGGGGCAGAAACCGAAGGGAGGGCAGAGGGAGGGAACUUUCGCAAAGGGGGAAAAGCUUAACGAGGAAAACCGCGGGAGGGAAGAAAGGCUUCCGAGAAGGAAAAACCAUUAAUAAGGGAAAAACAAUGGUGUAAGUAAAUGGGAACGUCUGGAGGGUACCUAAGAAGAAAGCCACGAUUAACUACGG